UACGUACUGUGCGAACGUUAUUCGGAAUUACUGGGCUUACAGGGUGCGUAGGCGGCCAAUUAAGUAGGGUGUGAAAGGCCUCGGCCUAACCGAGGCAUUGCGCUCUAAACUGUUUGGCUUGAGUGAGAUAGGGGUGUGCGGAACUUCCAGUGGAGCGGUGAAAUGUGUUGAUAUUGGAAGGAACGCCGGUGGCGAAAGCGGCACACUGGGUCUCAACUGACGCUGAGGCACGAAAGCCAGGGGAGCGAACGGG
rnacentral:rRNA from 1 species